UACGGAGGGGGGCUAGCGUUGUUCGGAAUUACUGGGCGUAAAGCGCACGUAGGCGGCUUUGUAAGUUAGAGGUGAAAGCCCAGGGCUUAACCCUGGAAUUGCCUUUAAGACUGCAUCGCUAGAAUCGUGGAGAGGUGAGUGGAAUUCCGAGUGUAGAGGUGAAAUUCGUAGAUAUUCGGAAGAACACCAGUGGCGAAGGCGACUCACUGGACACGUAUUGACGCUGAGGUGCGAAAGCGUGGGGGAGCAAACGGG
rnacentral:rRNA from 1 species